AACCUUUAGUUGGUUAAUGUUACACCAACAACGAAACCAACACGCCAGGCUUAUUCCUGUGGAGUUAAAUAUGAGCGAUAAAAUUAUUCACCUGACUGAC
rnacentral:sRNA from 17 species